GGCAUAGAUGGUGACCUGGACCAGUGGAUCAUUCUUCAGUGAGGGAUCUUGAGGGCCUCUGAGAAGUUCCUUCUGUGUCCUUUCUGGGUGUGCCGCUCUCCAGGAACAUCCAUGUGAAACUCUGCAGAAGCUCUCUGAAGCCCAUCCUUUUCUUCAUGGAGACUUUAAUGCACAGCCUGCAGUUUCCACACUGGCACAAUGGAGGCACCCACUGGGAAGUGAUUUAUAGAAGGCAUUUGAAAACACGGUGACGUAAGCGUCACGGGAAUGUUUUGAGUUCUUAAGGUGAGUGCUAUGAUGAUCAGGAAAAUGAGGUUUGCUGAGUGAAUAACAUAUUAAGUGAAUGCUAUCACAUAUCUUGAUCAGGGUUUAUAGCUUAUCUAGGAUUAGUUUUGCAGGUAUUUGCUUUUAAGGUGGAACUAAGUAUUAUACUAAGCAGCAGCGAACCAUUCAACCAUUCACGUGUGAGGACUGAACGAAAUGAAGUGUUCAGGAAAGCGUUGCAUCAAGCAACUCAGUAUUUUGUAUAUCCAUCAUCGCGGAGUCGGCCCAGCUCCAAAGACUUCAUUCUUUAUAUUGUGGGGACUGGGCUGGAAGGUAUAAUAUUUCACUGUACUGACAUAAUAGGAUAAGAUGGUAGCUAAUAUGAUAACAGGAAGAGAUGAGAUUUUAGGUGAUCUCAGGGGCUUG